UAGAUAGAAGCCUGUUGGUUUGGGCGUCUGGCUGUUAAUCAGGAGUUUAUGGGAUCGAGGCCCAUCUGCCUAG
rnacentral:tRNA from 1 species